rnacentral:lncRNA from 1 species
UUAAGAGUAAACCAAAGCACAACUGAGUGUGUUCUUGUGACCAAAGAUGGGCAGCUUGGCCCUGGAGAGCUAGAUAAACCACUGCACUAAGAAAUGCUGCUUCCCGGCAGUCCAGUACAGUAACUCAAAGAGCUUGCACCUCACCAUCCACUCGUGGCGUUAUCACGCUCAGUAUUACACAAGUGAGUAGGGCAAGGGGCCUGGGUACGGGUGUGCAUUGCGUCAUUUGUUACCAUGUACAGUUUCUUGACCAAGGCUGUUUUUAAACUCCAGUGUAACAGCAUUUUGUACGUAAUUCUGGCUACACAAUUCGUGAGAGACUGUUUGCAAGGGAUGAACAGCACUGAUUACCUUCCUGAUAUUUUGCACUUUUGAAAUGUUUUGUUUUAUAUGUGAUUAUAUUUAAGACUUUAGUAAAUGCUGAAAUAAAACUAUUGACCAUUUACCUAC